UACGGAGGGAGCUAGCGUUGUUCGGAAUUACUGGGCGUAAAGCGCACGUAGGCGGCUUUUUAAGUCAGGGGUGAAAUCCCGGGGCUCAACCUCGGAUCGGCCGUGGCGACUCGUGGGCUGGAGCACUGUAGAGGCGGGUGGAAUUCCGGGUGUAGCGGUGGAAUGCGUAGAGAUCCGGAAGAACACCAGUGGCGAAGGCGGCCCGCUGGGCAGUGGCUGACGCUGAGGCGCGACAGCGUGGGGAGCAAACAGG
rnacentral:rRNA from 1 species